rnacentral:rRNA from 1 species
AAUCAACGCUGGCGGCGUGCCUAACACAUGCAAGUCCAACGCGAAAGUCCCGCAAGGGAUGAGUAGAGUGGCAAACGGGUGAGUAACGCGUGGGCGACCUACCUUCGAGUGGGGGAUAACCUUCCGAAAGGAGGGCUAAUACCGCAUGACAUCCCGUGUUUGGAGACACGGACAUCAAAGCCGGGGAUCGCAAGACCUGGCGCUUGGAGAGGGGCCCGCGUCCGAUUAGCUAGUUGGUGGGGAACGGCCCACCAAGGCUCCGAUCGGUAUCCGGCCUGAGAGGGCGGACGGACACACUGGGACUGAGACACGGCCCAGACUCCUACGGGAGGCAGCAGUGGGGAAUUGUUCGCAAUGGGCGCAAGCCUGACGACGCAACGCCGCGUGGAGGAUGAAGACCUC